UACGAAGGGGGCUAGCGUUGCUCGGAAUCACUGGGCGUAAAGCGCACGUAGGCGGAUUGCUAAGUCAGGGGUGAAAUCCUGGAGCUCAACUCCAGAACUGCCUUUGAUACUGGCGACCUUGAGUCCGGGAGAGGUGAGUGGAACUGCGAGUGUAGAGGUGAAAUUCGUAGAUAUUCGCAAGAACACCAGUGGCGGAAGGCGGACUCACUG
rnacentral:rRNA from 1 species